rnacentral:rRNA from 1 species
GACGAACGCUGGCGGCGUGCCUAAUACAUGCAAGUAGAACGCUGAAGAGAGGAGCUUGCUCUUCUUGGAUGAGUUGCGAACGGGUGAGUAACGCGUAGGUAACCUGCCUUGUAGCGGGGGAUAACUAUUGGAAACGAUAGCUAAUACCGCAUAACAAUGGAUGACACAUGUCAUUUAUUUGAAAGGGGCAAUUGCUCCACUACAAGAUGGACCUGCGCUGUAUUAGCUAGUAGGUGAGGUAAUGGCUCACCUAGGCGACGAUACAUAGCCGACCUGAGAGGGUGAUCGGCCACACUGGGACUGAGACACGGCCCAGGCUCCUACGGGAGGCAGCAGUAGGGAAUCUUCGGCAAUGGGGGCAACCCUGACCGAGCAACGCCGCGUGAGUGAAGAAGGUUUUCGGAUCGUAAAGCUCUGUUGUAAGUCAAGAACGGGUGUGAGAGUGGAAAGUUCACACUGUGACGGUAGCUUACCAGAAAGGGACGGCUAACUACGUG